GACGGCGGAUGCAAGCGUUAUCCGGAAUGAUUGGGCGUAAAGCGUCCGCAGGUGGCAGUUCAAGUCUGCUGUCAAAGACCGGGGCUUAACUUCGGAAAGGCAGUGGAAACUGAACAGCUAGAGUAUGGUAGGGGCAGAGGGAAUUCCUGGUGUAGCGGUGAAAUGCGUAGAGAUCAGGAAGAACAUCGGUGGCGAAGGCGGUUCUCUGGGCAUUACCUGACGCUGAGGAGCGAAAGUGUGGGGAGCGAACAGG
rnacentral:rRNA from 1 species